rnacentral:lncRNA from 1 species
UGAUGUCACAAAUGACGUCAUAAGCAAGUAUUCUCGUUCUUUUGAUCUAGGCAUGACAGUUGUGGAAAUAUCGACUUGUUGACCGCUUUGUUGAUCUUGUCACAAAAUUUUGUUACCGUAAAAAAUACAGGAUAAAGGAAGGGAUUGUUACAUCUAUGCAGCAACUUGUCAACGAAUAGUCAAGGUCUUGGCGGAUGUUUUGAGCGCACAGUAACAAACACUGGUCUAAGUGUAUCAACGCAGGAAGCUACAAGAUACACGUGAUUACAUCUGCUGAUCGGAAGGAGUUGCUGAGGAUGUAAAAAACAAGCCAUAUUUUGGGGAAAUGGAGUAGGAAGACGUUGGCUGGUUGCAGUGGCAUUUUAACAGUAGGUUUUU